UCACUUUCAACAACGGAUCUCUUGGCUCUCGCAUCGAUGAAGAACGUAGCGAAGUGCGAUAAGUAGUGUGAAUUGCAGAAUUCCGUGAAUCAUCGAAUUUUUGAACGCAAAUUGCACUCCCUGGUAUUCCGGGGAGUAUGCCUGUCUGAGGGUCAGUC
rnacentral:rRNA from 1 species